rnacentral:tRNA from 1 species
CAGGGAGACAACAAAAUGUUUAAUAUUAUUAUUUUGUCACCUUAGGUCGAUCGGUAUCUCACGUUCUUAAUUCGUUAAGAAUUUCAUUUCCUAAGUUUUUCUAGGUCACACCCAUUAUUUUUCCUGGGCCAUUAGCUCAGGUGGUUAGAGCGCACCCCUGAUAAGGGUGAGGUCCCUGGUUCAAGUCCAGGAUGGCCCAUAUCUCUAUGUUGGGGGUAUAGCUCAGUUGGUAGAGCGCCUGCUUUGCAAGCAGGAUGUCAGCGGUUCGAGUCCGCUUACCUCCACUGAUUACCACCUCUUCCAUAACCGAUAGAAAGGAAAUGUUUUGAGUUGUGAUCAUUAUUCUGAACGAAUCUAGCUUCCUAAUGAAAUCAUUAAGAUGCUGGACUCAUUGAAUUAAUUUUCAUUGUUUUCAGAGAACCUUGACAACUGCAUAGAUUAUUUUUAAAGACAAUAAGCAUCUUUAAUGAUGCAGAUUUAUUAUUUGUGCGAAUGCAUUAAUAACAAUUCUAUUAAGCUGAUGCUUCAAUUUUUGAAGUUAUU